CUUGGUCAUUUAGAGGAAGUAAAAGUCGUAACAAGGUUUCCGUAGGUGAACCUGCGGAAGGAUCAUUACCGAGUUCAUGCCCUUACGGGUAGAUCUCCCACCCUUUGUAUACUAUACCUUUGUUGCUUUGGCGGGCCGCCUAGCUACUGGCUUCGGCUGGUAUGUGCCCGCCAGAGGACCCAAAACCCUGAAUUAUUAGUGUCGUCUGAGUAAAAUAUUUAAUAUUUAAAACUUUCAACAACGGAUCUCUUGGCUCUG
rnacentral:misc_RNA from 1 species